rnacentral:rRNA from 1 species
UGGUGGAGCGAUUUGUCUGGUUAAUUCCGUUAACGAACGAGACCUCAGCCUGCAAACUAGCUAUGCGGAGGAAUCCCUUAGAGGGACUAUGGCCGUUUAGGCCACGGAAGUUUGAGGCAAUAACA